GGGUAAUGAUAGUUGAUUCUGCACCAGCUACAAAGCGCCAGAGAUUCACCGCCGUUGAUCCGAUGGAGUUGGAAUCAGCUAAGGCGAAGCUUGCUGCUGCAAAAGAAACGUUUGGACGUGAAAUCCGUGUAUUUGAAACAGCAACAGCUUCUUCAGUGCCUCCUGAUGUUUCCAGCAAUGUGUCAGAGGAGCCCGAAGACUUCUAUGAGUUCACACCAGAGGAUUAUUAUCGACUUUUGGGAACUAAAAAAGAAGAGAAGCACUUGAAGACGAAGAAAAUUCGUGAGGCAGAAGAAGCUGCACGCAGAGCAAGGAUAACUAAGGCUGUAAUCAGAGUACGCUUCCCGGAUAAUUAUAUAUUGGAGGCCACAUUUCAUCCGUCAGAGACAAUCAAGAGCUUACUUGACCUUCUUGUGAAAGUGAUUGCUCACCCUGAACUGCCUUUCUAUAUCUAUACCACUCCUCCUAAGAAGCAAAUAAAAGAUUUUUCCAAGGAUUUCUAUUCCGCUGGAUUUAUUCCUGGUGCUGUUGUUUAUUUCUCUUACGAUCUACCCAAAGGUGAUGAUGGUGCUGCAGCAUCAGGAUCCUAUCUUCAAGAAGAGGUCAUGUCUUUGCAAGGAUUGGAUUCUAUGAUAGAGAAGAUGGAGCCUGGUGAACCUAGCAGAGAUGAAUCUCCAACUACCAACCCCCCUCCUUCAGUACCAGAUCAAAAGCCUGCUGCUGAUAAGAAGAAAAUUAAGCCAAAGUGGUUGAAACUGUGAUAUGGUCGAUGAUGUCAGGGUUAUACUAUACUCUAAUCCAGUGUUAUAUGUAAUCCAUAGCUUGUUCUGUAUGUAAUCAGUUGUCACUUUGCUUCAGAUGGAUAGUCAGUCAGUUGCUGGAGUUGUAUGGCAAAAGCUUUGUUUGUUCUGUAUGUAACCAGUUGUCACUUAGCUCAGUUGGUGGAGUAUGCCAAAAGAGGAGGUUUGAACUUUGAAAUAUUCAAAUAUAGGUUGAAAGUCAACUUUAGAUGCUUGAUUUGUCCAUAACCAAAUAUAAGGUAUUACAAU
rnacentral:misc_RNA from 1 species